GUGGGGACGCACGCGGGGGCGCUGAGGGACGUGGGGUUGCUGAGGGAUGCACGCAGGGCCGCUGAGGGGCGUACGCGGGACUCGAGUGACGUGAGCACGCACGUAGGACCUGUUAGUGACGUGGGGACGCACGACGGGGCACUGAGGGGACGCACGCGGGGACGCUGGGGGACGUGGGGGCGCCGAGGGACUUGGAGGGCGCCGAGGGACGUGGGGGCGCUGAGGGACGUUGGGGGUGCUGAGGGGACGCCCGCAGGGGCCGCUGAGGGACGUGGGAGUGUUGAGGUAACGCAGGCGGGGGACGCUGAGGGGACUCAUGCGGCGGGUGCUGAAGGACGUGGGGCGCUGAGGGGAUGCAUGCGCGGGGCAGUGAGGGACAUGGGGACGCUGAGGCAGCGCACGCGGGCCACCAUCGGCCAAGGAUGAGACCAUUAGAACAUCUGCAAUGGGUUGAAACGCCUCGAAUGCAGUAAGAUCCAGGAGUUAUAACGAUACUAAAAAUAGCAACAAUGACCCAAGUCACCUUUGGACAUGCUAAAAACCAGCGGUACCUCAGGAUGACCAAAUAGUUGAUGAGAAAAAAUCCCUCUUCAGAAAAGUAUUACAGCUCACAGGUGAAGAAAGGAGACACAGAAUCGGAGCAUCUUCCCUCCGAAGCCCCACAAUGGAAUCACCGGUGCAGGGAGAUGGCCAGGCCUGCGGCACCCGAGAGAGGCCGUCUGACCCGGGUCCUCUGUGCAGGCAGAGCCCCCUCCGGUGUUGUGUUCCCGCCAAAACUGGCCGCGAAUCGCAGAUGAUGAUGCCGGGAUCCGCGCCCUUGCAGGAGAGACGGGGGUGUGGGGAGGAUGCCGGCAGCUCAGGGCACAGUCCAGACCUGGGGACACCACGGGACAAAAGACAAGUCACGAGAGGAAGAAGCGGAGAGAACCAAGGAUUUUUUCCUGGUUGGAAAAAACAGAGUCUUAAAAAUCCUGUGGGAUGCCAGGGAGUCCUGGGCGCUGAUAUCUGGUGGCAUUAAGGAGUCACCAUCAAUUAUUUUAGGCAUAAAUACAGAACUGGGGUUGGGUGGGGUGUUUGGUUCUUAUCUUUGAGAAUACUUUCUGAAGUGUUUAUGGAUAAAAUAAUAUGAUGUCUGGAACUGUUUUAAAAUAGCCCAGUGAGGAAGCGGGUGGGGUGCUGGCCUUGGCAGGAACACGGGGCCAUUGUGCUGGUCUCUCGCGUUGUGUUGGAACUCACUAUAAACAGCACCAGCGAGGGACGGCAGCCUGCCCUGUGCCUGCCCUGAGGUCACUCUCACUGUGAACUCGGCUCCCUCCAGCCCAGCUCUCACAGGGUCACAGGUGGUGGCUUCAGCCAAUGUCCUGUGCAGGCUUCUUCCUGAAGGAACACAGAGUCCUGAGAGUGGGAUUUCCUGUGGUGAUUCUUCGGUCUCAGAGUCCCGAGGGACACGCGUGUUUGAGAAUCUUCUCCAUGUCCAUCUGGAUGAUCUUCGCCUUCAUUCUCCUCUCCUAUUAAAUGGAGGCCAUCAGCACACUUAGACACGCCUGCCAGCUUUAAGAGUUUAGAGCUAAACAAAUGAAGCACACAGUGCACUUCAAAGACUUCGAGAGGAAGGCUCAGUGUGCACAGAGGCCCCAGGAACCCUGAGCUUCCCCAGGAUGCCCAUCCUGAGCCCUCGGGGGCCAUCUAACCCACUCAAACUCCAAACACUAGUCUCUCCCCCAUCACAAGGAAAGACAGGCAUGGUCCCCCACCCAUCAGCGGUGUUGCUGAAUCUGGCAGCCACUGUGUUUGUCAGACCUGCCUGCCUUGUUCAGCAGGGAAACCACUUGCUAUGAUGAAUGGAGCUGCAUGUGAAACUUAGAUAAGCAGGCAGGUCGAAAACACCUCCUGUGCCAGCAUUCCAGUUUUCUUGCUUGGCCCAAGAACCUGGUUUCAUUUUGGAAGGUGGAGGGAGUGUGUGGCGACCUUGUUGCCAUUUUCAGGCAUGGCUGGGCUCUCACACAGUCACUCUUAGAACAGACAUGUCCCUGCCUGGAGGCCAGGCCCUCUUGGGUUGUGGGAACCAAGCCCAAAAAUGUCAAACAAGUGGCAAAACCUUUAGGGUAAUUUUCCUCUAACUCAAAAAACACCUGGCCGCUUCUCCUCCCCAGAUGUUAAAGGUCCUUUUAUUAGCAUUGUCCUAUUGUGUUUUUUUCAUUUCUCAGACACAGACACAGGAAGCAUCAACUCUGAGGCUUUGGCCAGGAUGUGAGCCCGACUUUCGCAGCCCCAACUGGCAGGCUGACCUCAUGUGAACUCCCUGGCGAUGGCAUCCUGGAGACACCCACAUGGCUGAGCUGGCACCAUAGGCACUCAUAAUCCAGGUUCAGUUUCUGCCAGCACUAAUUUGGUUUAUUCCACAUGGCUGGAGCCACUGCGGGACUCCAUUUGUUCCGGGGCCACCUUCCUGUCACCUUUUACUGUUUCUUGAGUCAGCAAGAAAGGCAGAUCCGACUGAAGACUCCAGCACUCUCCUCAGCUGCAGCCCCCACAGAGCUCCGCGAAGUCCUUUCUCCCACAGGACAGAUCUGAGGCACCCACCAUUAGAAGAAAGGAGUGGAGAAAUGAUAUGCAGGAAGAAGGCCCAUUCUGAUUCACCAAUCGCAUGGACGCACUUUCCUACCAGGCUAGGAGGGAGGAAAGUAGAGCCCCACCCUGACUGCUAAGCCGUUUGCUUUGGUGUCAUGAAAAAAGAGUUCAGCUUCCCAAAUCAGAGAGGAAAAGGUUUUCAAGGGGUCCCCUAUUUCUAUUAUGUAAGCUUUAAAUGACAAAGUGGACCUCUGGGGCCAACGUGGGUGUGUGAUGGUGGUUUUGUGGGAUUCUCCCCAUAGCCCCAUCAGACGGCCUCACCUUCUGGGUCUCAGUGGCCCCAGGUGCAACACGGCUCCUCCAGAAAUGAUGACAGCCCUGGCGACCAAGGACUCCCUGUGCCACUGGGUUUGCGCUCAGAAGUAUAUUCAAUGAUUUCCCCAGAAAAUUCCAAGUCAUCUCCUAAUACUGUUUGUGAAAACUAAAUGAACUGUCGUGGUCUUCUUCAGGGACAGUUUGCUAGGAAGGGUGGUUAUUGGCAUAAUUUUCCAAAUCAAUGAACUAAGUUACAAAACUUUCUCAAAGACCCUGAUGGCUGUUACAAAGACAGAAAAGUGAAUGGUCAGAAAGAAGUGUGAUAAUUCACCCAGUAUUGGGAGGACGAGGUGGGCGGAUCACGAGGUCAGGACAUCGAGACCAUCCUGGCUAACACAGUGAAACCCCGUCUCUACUAAAAAAAUACAAAAAAUUAGCCGGGCGUGGUGGUGGGCGCCUGUAGUCCCAGCUUCUCGGGAGGCUGAGGCAGGAGAAUGGCGUGAAACCUGGGAGGUGGAGCUUGCAGUGAGCCAAGAUCACGCCACUGCACUCCAGCCUGGGCGACGGAGCAAGACUCCGUCUCAUAAAAACAGCCUAAGACAACCACACAGCACACAGGCCUUCAUCCUUGGCUGUGACGGAUGCGUGUCCGUGUGGAGGGCCAGGCCUGUUUCUCCCGUCACUAAUGGAAGCCUCUCUGAGUUUCCAUGAAAGUCUCC
rnacentral:lncRNA from 10 species